rnacentral:misc_RNA from 1 species
GAUGAAGAACGCAGCGAAAUGCGAUAAGUAGUGUGAAUUGCAGAAUUCAGUGAAUCAUCGAAUCUUUGAACGCACAUUGCGCCCCUUGGUAUUCCAUGGGGCAUGCCUGUUCGAGCGUCAUUUGUACCUUCAAGCUCUGCUUGGUGUUGGGUGUUUGUCUCGCCUCUGCGUGUAGACUCGCCUCAAAACAAUUGGCAGCCGGCGUAUUGAUUUCGGAGCGCAGUACAUCUCGCGCUUUGCACUCAUAACGACGACGUCCAAAAGUACAUUUUUACACUCUUGACCUCGGAUCAGGUAGGGAUACCCGCUGAACUUAAGCAUAUCAAUAAGGAGGA